ACGCGGGCCAGCCCUGGCCGCGGCCUCCGCUGCCACCGGCCCAGCCCGCGGCGUCGGGCCCCGCUCCGGGGCGGUUACGAAGCUCCGUAGGGGGCCGGGAGGCCCUAACCGGCCGUGGCCCGGGGUUUCCACAGGAAAUGAGAAAGAACCAGCCCCCCGAUGACUGGGUGAAGGGAUGCAGUGAUGAUUUCCUCGUGUUCCUCGUCGAUGAGAGCUUUCCGAGUGAUCUCAGUUUGGGGGACCCAGGUCAGUUUACUGGAAGACGUGUGUGUGUGCUGGAUGAAAAUCUGGUUUCGUUUCUGCUGCUUCUGUGUGCCUGGAAUGUAACUGUUUUGGCUUAGAACCUUCCAGGUUUGGUUUAAUUCUUAACCACAUACUUUUUGGAUGUCGACCUGCUUAAAACUCUGUAUUGAUAUAAA